AUCACCUAGGAGUCUUUUUAAAAAGCAGAUUCUGCUUGAGUUGGAUUGAGGACUGAGGUUCUGCAUUUCUUAGGAGCUCCUAAGUGAUGUUCA
rnacentral:pre_miRNA from 1 species